GGGGAAUAUUGGACAAUGGGCGCAAGCCUGAUCCAGCCAUGCCGCGUGAGUGAUGAAGGCCUUCGGGUUGUAAAGCUCUUUUGGCGGGGACGAUGAUGACGGUACCCGCAGAAUAAGCCCCGGCUAACUUCGUGCCAGCAGCCGUGGUAAUACGGAGGGGGCUAGCGUUAUUCGGAAUUAUUGGGCGUAAAGGGCGCGUAGGCGGCCCGGUAAGUCAAAGGUGAAAUCCCUCGGCUCAACUGAGGAACUGCCUUUGAAACUGUCGGGCUUGAGGCCGGGAGGGGGUAGCGGAAUUCCCAGUGUAGCGGUGAAAUGCGUAGAUAUUGGGAGGAACACCGGUGGCGAAGGCGGCUACCUGGACCGGUUCUGACGCUGAUGCGCGAAAGCGUGGGUAGCAAA
rnacentral:rRNA from 1 species